GUUGUUGCAGUUGCUGUUCCGAGCGCAGCUGAGUAUCGCUCGACGCCCUCAGAGAGAGCGCUGCCUUAGAGCCGACACCAACCGCUUAGUUCACCUCUCAAGAAGCUAUUUGAUUCUGAAGGAGAAGAACCUCUCCUACAAUGCUAACCUGGGGAUCAGAAGGAAGGAAAGCAGCAUUGGAGGCUUGGAAGCUACUAUGCUCAGGGGCUAUUUGCGAGGCAUAUUCAGAGAAAAGCACAUGGCAAGCCUGAGGACCAUACUGACACAAUAGUCUCACCUUUUGGGAGAUUCUAUAUUUCCCUUCUCUCAGACAGAUCUUCUUUGCAUCCAACCCCGAAGACACUAGCAAAGUGUCUUAAAAGUGACACUAGCAAAGAUGGCUUAAUCUUCAAGAUGCUGUUUCUUUGAACCCUGAACCAGAUUCACUGCCUCCUCCUGUAGCCGUGGCAAACAGUCUGUUGCACUUACCUGCUUUCCCUAGGCUGCUGCUGUUAAUCAAAUAAAUAAAUCCCUCAUGGCCAAAAGGGAGAAAUGUAGCCUUCGUGGGGGACUCAGAAUGAUGCUUCUGUCUUCCUCUGAUUAAACACCUCUUCAGAGAUAACUUAAUCUCAGCGUAUCUGAAGAAUACAGGGGCUGCCCUGCAUUUACUAGAUUCUACAACUCCAAAAUACUCCAUUUCUUCAUACUCCAUUUAUCUUCCAUUCCAUUAUCAGAAGACGUGCAGUAGCUGUAGAUACGCAGGACAUCACUGAACUCUCUCACAUCCACACGAAUGCCCUGUGGAAUGUGCAGCAUCCAGUGAAGCCCUGCCGAAGAGAUUCCUCCGCGAGAAAAAGUCAAAGACCAAAUACCACUUAAUGGGAUACACACAGAAGUGUGGUGAGAUCCAGAGCAUGCUCAUGAAAUCAUCUGUGUGUUUAUGAUAAGAAGCUCACUCCCCCCUUGGAUAACCUCCUGAUUGCUUUUGUUAAACCUCUGGCAGUUUAAAAGGUAUCUUGCUUUCCAAAGUCUGGGCCUUCUUCCUCUCUCUUUUCUUCUCUCUUCCCCACACAGGGGCCUCUUCUCUUCACUCGGCUCCCACUCACCCUCUCAAAUGACAGUCUUUCUGUACUCGUCUGUGCAACAGCACACAGCCUAGGCUCUGCUUCUAAAAGCCAGGAGUAACGUCCUAGUCUCUUUCCGUAUUGCUGCACUGUGCCUUGGUCUGAGGGUUUGUAAACCAUGAACAUUAAAAUAUCUGCUCAUCUGUU